rnacentral:rRNA from 1 species
UUAUUUUAGCGGCGGACGGGUGAGUAACGUGUGGGCAACCUGCCUUUUACUGGGGAAUAAUCGUUGGAAACGACGACUAAUACCGCAUACGGUUCUUAGAAGGCAUCUUCUGAGAAAGAAAGGAGUAAUUCGGUAAAAGAUGGGCCCGCAUCUGAUUAGCUAGUUGGUGAGAUAACAGCCCACCAAGGCAACGAUCAGUAGCCGACCUGAGAGGGUGACCGGCCACAUUGGGACUGAGACACGGCCCAAACUCCUACGGAAGGCAGCAG